AUGCUACGCUUCCAGGAAAAGCCUCUAAGCUCCAGGUAACAUCAAAUCGUACCCCAAACCGACACAGGUGGUCAGGUAGAGAAUACUCAGGCGCUUGAGAGAACUCGGGUGAAGGAACUAGGCAAAAUGGUGCCGUAACUUCGGGAGAAGGCACGCUCCUGUCGGUGAAGUCCCUUGCGGACGGAGCUGACGGGAGUCGCAGAUACCAGCUGGCUGCAACUGUUUAAUAAAAACACAGCACUGUGCAAACACGAAAGUGGACGUAUACGGUGUGACGCCUGCCCGGUGCCGGAAGGUUAAUUGAUGGGGUCAGCCGCAAGGCGAAGCUCUUGAUCGAAGCCCCGGUAAACGGCGGCCGUAACUAUAACGGUCCUAAGGUAGCGAAAUUCCUUGUCGGGUAAGUUCCGACCUGCACGAAUGGCGUAAUGAUGGCCAGGCUGUCUCCACCCGAGACUCAGUGAAAUUGAACUCGCUGUGAAGAUGCAGUGUACCCGCGGCAAGACGGAAAGACCCCGUGAACCUUUACUAUAGCUUGACACUGAACCUUGAGCCUUGAUGUGUAGGAUAGGUGGGAGGCUUUGAAGCGAGGACGCCAGUUCUUGUGGAGCCAACCUUGAAAUACCACCCUUUAAUGUUUGAUGUUCUAACGUAGGCCCGUGAUCCGGGUUGCGGACAGUGUCUGGUGGGUAGUUUGACUGGGGCGGUCUCCUCCCAAAGAGUAACGGAGGAGCACGAAGGUUAGCUAAUCCUGGUCGGACAUCAGGAGGUUAGUGCAAAGGCAUAAGCUAGCUUGACUGCGAGAGUGACAGCUCGAGCAGGUGCGAAAGCAGGUCUUAGUGAUCCGGUGGUUCUGAAUGGAAGGGCCAUCGCUCAACGGAUAAAAGGUACUCCGGGGAUAACAGGCUGAUACCGCCCAAGAGUUCAUAUCGACGGCGGUGUUUGGCACCUCGAUGUCGGCUCAUCACAUCCUGGGGCUGAAGUAGGUCCCAAGGGUAUGGCUGUUCGCCAUUUAAAGUGGUACGCGAGCUGGGUUUAGAACGUCGUGAGACAGUUCGGUCCCUAUCUGCCGUGGGCGUUGGAAGAUUGAGAGGGGUUGCUCCUAGUACGAGAGGACCGGAGUGAACGCACCACUGGUGUUCGGGUUGUGAUGCCAAUUGCAUUGCCCGGUAGCUAAGUGCGGAAGAGAUAACCGCUGAAAGCAUCUAAGCGGGAAACUUGCCUCGAGAUGAGUCUUCCCUGGGCACUAGAUGCCCCUGAAGGGCCGUUGAAGACUACGACGUAGAUAGGCUGGGUGUGUAAGCGUAGCGAUACGUUGAGCUAACCAGUACUAAUGACCCGAGAGGCUUAACCUU
rnacentral:rRNA from 1 species